UCUGACGGAGGAGGCAACUUAAUUACAAGGCCUAAAGCUAGGUCGCCACUCGCCACCACCCCCGUCUCGAUCGGUCCAUUCUAGAUCUGGCCACACAUCCCCACUCCCGUUCCUGGCCCCUAACCAGUCGGAGCACCACCGCGAGCCAAUCCUCUCCUUCGCCGCUCCGCCGCCGCUUAGUAGGCCUCCGCCGCAUCCAACCUGAAGCGGAAAUGGCGAGCUUAAGUGGAUCUAGCCAGAGCAUGGGUACCUCCUCGGACUAUUGGCGGCGGAAUGUGGAUUCGUCGACGCCCAUUCCAUAUCGUGAAGGACCACUGGAGUACACCCCAGCAGUGCUUUGCAACUGCGGUGCUAAGGCCGCUCGAUUCAUCUCUUGGAGCACUCUGAACCCAAGAUUGAGGUAUUUGAAGUGCGCCCGGGCUCGUGAUGGUGGUUGCGAUUUCUUUAGAUGGGUGGACCAGCCAACCAGUGCGUUCUUGAAGUAGCUUCCGCUUGAUUUGCGCGAUGCAGUGAAGUACUGGCGUGGUGAAACAGUAGAAGCUGAAAGGUGUUUGGAAGAAGCAAGAAUGGAGAUUGCAAGAAUCAUGGGUGGUGCAGCAAGGGAAAAUCAAAGGCUUCAGGCUCAGGUGGAAGCCGCUGUCAAGUUCAAUGAAGACAGACAACGCAUGUUUGUGGAAGUCAGGAGGGAUGUGGCCAUCAUGCAAGGUGAAGUGCAGAGGGUUGAAGAAGAAAGGGGUCGGCUACAGGCUAGGAUUGUGAAAUUGCAGAAGGAGAGGACGAUCUUGAUGGGUGCUUUAGUUGUCUUUGUUGGAUUAUUGGCUGCUUUUGUUGGAUAUGCAAGGUGAAGUGCAGAGGGUUGAAGAAGAAAGGGGUCGGCUACAGGCUAGGAUUGUGAAAUUGCAGAAGGAGAGGAAGAUGGGUGCUUUAGUUGUCUUUUGGAUUACUGGCUGCUUUUGUUGGAUGGCAGCAUGUAAUAAGUCAGCAUGCAUAGUUGUAGUUGGGUUAUUAGUUGUUCCAGGAUAGUAUGAUCUAUUGAACUAUGUGUUGGUGCUGGUUACUACUAGAAAACUUGCACGGCAUUGCCGCGCCAACUUGAGCUUGCCCAGUGGGGAACCAAGGCUCAAGUUAACGUUGUGCUAGUUUGAGGUAACCUAGUGGAGAGCUUGUAUGUUGUAUCAAGGUGGAAACUACAAAUUGUCUUGAUGUGAAGAGAUCAACAUAUUCAGUUUUAGCACUA